UAGCGGUGAAAUGCAUAGAUAUCACGCAGAACUCCGAUUGCGAAGGCAGCUUGCCAAGCCAUAACUGACACUGAAGCACGAAAGCGUGGGUAUCAAACAGGAUUAGAUACCCUGGUAGUCCACGCAGUAAACGAUGAUUACUAGGAGUUUGCGAUAAAAUGUAAGCUCUACAGCGAAAGCGUUAAGUAAUCCACCUGGGGAGUACGCCGGCAACGGUGAAACUCAAAGGAAUUGACGGGGGCCCGCACAAGCGGAGGAACAUGUGGUUUAAUUCGAUGAUACGCGAGGAACCUUACCCGGGUUUGAACGCAGUCCGACCGCCGAUGAAAGUCGGCUUCUAGCAAUAGCGGAUUGCGAGGUGCUGCAUGGUUGUCGUCAGCUCGUGCCGUGAGGUGUCGGCUUAAGUGCCAUAACGAGCGCAACCCUUGCCGUUAGUUACUAACAAGUUAUGUUGAGGACUCUAGCGGGACUGCCAGCGUAAGCUGUGAGGGAGGCGGGGAUGACGUCAAAUCAGCACGGCCCUUACAUCCGGGGCGACACACGUGUUACAAUGGCGUGGACAAAGAGCAGCCACUUGGCGACAAGGAGCUAAUCUCCAAACCACGUCCCAGUUCGGAUCGGAGUCUGCAACUCGACUCCGUGAAGCUGGAUUCGCUAGUAAUCGCGCAUCAGCCAUGGCGCGGUGAAUACGUUCCCGGGCCUUGUACACACCGCCCGUCAAGCCAUGGGAGCCGGGNNNACCUGAAGUCCGUAACCGCGAGGAUCGGCCUAGGGUAAAACUGGUGACUGGGGAUAAGUCGUAACAAGGUAACCA
rnacentral:rRNA from 1 species